rnacentral:rRNA from 1 species
UUUUUAAUUGAGAUCUUGUAUGAAUGGCUGGACGAAGGAAAUACUGUCUUUGUGUUAAAAAUUGAAUUUAACUUUUAAGUGAAAAGGCUUAAAUAUUCUAGAAAGACGAUAAGACCCUAUGAAGCUUUACAUUUAAAUAUAAUUAUUAUUUAAUUUAAAAGUGAAGAUAUAAUUAUAAUUAUUUGGUUUGGUGGGGGAGAUAAGAGUAAAAUUUUUUAUUACCGGCUAAAUUAUUAACCAAUGAUGUACGUAUAAAAAAGUUAAUAGACCCUUUUUAAAGAUUUAAAGAUUAAGUUACUUUAGGGAUAACACCGUUAUUUCUUUUUUGAGUUCCUAUCAUAGAAGAAGAUUGCGACCCCCACGUUGAAUUAAAAUAUCUUCAUAAUGCAGNUG